AUUGAACGCUCGCGGCAGGCCUAACACAUGCAAGUCGAACGAGUGGCGGACGGGUGAGUAAUGCCUGGGAAUCUGGCUUAUGGAGGGGGAUCACUACUGGAAACUGUAGCUAAUACCGCCUACCAUCGGAUGUGCCCAGGUGGGAUUAGCUAGUUGGUGGGGUAAAGGCUCACCAAGCCGACGAUCCCUAGCUGGUCUGAGAGGAUGACCAGCCACACUGUAACUGAGACACGGUCCAGACGCCUACGGGAGGCAGCAGUGGGGAAUAUGGCGCAAUGGGGGCAAGCCUGAAACAGCCAUGCCGCGUGAAUGAAGAAGGCCUUCGGGUGGUAAAGUACUUUCGGCAGCGAGGCGUUAACCGCAGAAGAAGCACCGGCUAACUCCGUGCCAGCAGCCGCGGUAAUUG
rnacentral:rRNA from 1 species